UCCCUUUUUAAAUAUCUUUAAGCCUUUAUUUAACAUUAGUUCAUAAAAUAGGCUUUAGGGACUUAAUCCCUCAUAUCAUAUAGCUCAAAGGUUUCUAAGAUGAGAAUGACCUUUCAUCAUAGAACCUACAUUAUGUGAGAAUGACCUUUCACAUAGUCAUACCAUAUUCUUAACAUAGUCUAGUUUAGAGUACAAUUAAGGAAAGACUCACUUUCACUAGCUUAUCAUAAACCU
rnacentral:lncRNA from 1 species